CUUUCACAAUAAACUUCUUUGAGAACUCUGUUCUGUGUUUCAAGAAUUAAUUGAUAAUUAUAAAUAAAGAAAAAAAGCAGUUGCAAUAUUGUAUUUAGCAGAAAUACGUGAAUUAAUGCCUCCAGGUAGGCCUAUACAAGACUAUAGUCCUGGACAAUUUGAAAACCAUUUCAGUCAAAGAAGAAAAAAACUGAUGAGAUGUGUGCUAAGCCAGACACCAUGAAGUGACUGUAAUGGCAGAGAUGAAGGCUGAGAGAGGGAGUUUUGUGAGCGACCUGCGCAUGCUGCUGGAAGCUUAAAAUGGCGCAGACGUGACUCUGGCACCCAGGGGCUCGGAGCAGUCAGCACAGUCGCAUCUUGGCAGGGAGGAGCCCCGUCUUCGACGCGAUGUUGUGUUUCUUGCAUGUCACUUCACAACAUCGCUGCGAACACGGGGCUUCUUGCUGGCAUGUCGCAGACUGAGAUGCCAGAAGCAUGCAGCCACUUAUCAGAGGUAACUGACAUAAGAGAAGCUCCCUUACAGCAGUUGUGAAACAAUCCCUAAUCAUACCAUAGCCUGCAUUAUAGUCCAGCAACACUGUGGACUGAACUGUCCAAACUAACAGCAAGUGUGUUACAUUGGGAUAUGGAGUAUCUUGCGUGGAUUAUUUUGCCAUAUCUUGACCCUGAAUAUUUAUAAAAGAACCAACUCGCGAUAAUAAAAAAAACUACACAUCUUUCAUUAAUUGCAGCUAAAGAAUAAUUUGAAAUGUAAUACAAAAUACUAAAUAUCAUAAUGUCAAUCACAUUCUUUUAGGACUGCCGUAUUUACCCGAAUCUAAGCCGCACUUUUUUCCGUUUUUUGUAAUCCAAAAAUCCUCCUGCGGCUUAGAAUCGAGUGCAAAGUAAGCAGAAGUUCUGAAAAACAUUGGUAGGUGCCGCCACAAGUAACUUCUGCUGUUGAAUAUAUGUAGCGCGACACAGGCAUGCUUUGUAGGCACAAAGGUAAAUACUGGCGCCAAA